rnacentral:lncRNA from 10 species
UUUUUUUCUAAUUUUUAUAUCUUUCCCACAAAUAAGCAUUAGUUAAAAUUUCUAUCUUUUCUCCUUAAAGAAAAUGUGUAUAGCUUACCUUGCAAUAAACUAUUCUUAUUUAGACCUUAUUUGUAAUAGAAAUGUUAGAAGAAGAAACCAUCUUUCUUUGUUUCAAAUAUCUGUAACAGAAAACCUAAAUUUAUUGCUUGUUCAGCAGGAAAGAGUAGCAUUUGCAAAGUGAGUCUCUCCAAAGAAUGCACAUAGUGAUCUUAGAUAGGGUUAGAAGUAGGAAGAAGCUCAGGUAUUAGUGGACUUUGAGAAUCACAUGUUCUAAACCUGGAUGGCUUUCAGUUGUAGAAACUUUGUCUCUGGAGUGUUUGCUGCUGAUUGGCUGCCAAGAGCAUGGUAUCUGUGUCUGAUUGAUUGAGAUACAUUUGAAACUAUUUCUAGUAGUUAUUUAUUCAUGGCCUGGGACUAUGCCUAAGAAAGUCAUUCUUUUGGAGAACAGGAAAUAUUUUUUCUGUGGGGCACUAUCUUGGUCUGUUCAUAUUAGAUUAAAUAAUCUUGAUAGUCAUAUUCAUGCUGUAUUUUAAGAUUUAACUGUAACAAUACAAGAAGGUAUUCUGGAAUUUGGGAAUUUGUAAAGAUUGGAGAAAUAGAUAAGACUCAUUUAAAUCAUAUUAGGAGUAAACUAGAUAUAGUUUGCUAAAUGGUUAGGACAUAGGCAUAGAAAUACUGAUAUGUUAGAGAUACAUAUUGGCAAAUUUAUACACACAGUAAUAUAUAUCUAAUUAAACUUAAUCAUUUGUAUGUUUAAUUAACUUCUGAGUUUUCUAAAAUAUUGAAGAAACAACACGAAACAACUGAGGUGAAUGAACAUGUAUUGACUGAUUUGGCCCUAGGAAGACUAAUUUCUCCCCUGGUUUGCCAGUUAAUGAUGUAUUUUCUUCAAAUUCGUCUACUUUAAUAUGAUGGCUUUUAUCAAUAUGGAUAAUUUAGUGUAUCCAUGGAUAAUUUAGCAAUCCAGUGAAUUUUUAAUUUCUCCGAAAUUGCUCAAUAGUUGGAAUUCAAAUGCUGUCUAUGUUGUGGUAAUAGCUGUUUAAUUUAUGUAUGGUACAAUCAACUAGUAAGUCCUACUCCCCAAUACCAAGCCCGGAUUCCUGGCAAACUUAGAAACUUGGAAAAGAAAAAAGAUGAAUUGGUUUGUGUGGAAGAGCAUGAUUCAGAUUUAUGACUCAUUCAUUAAAGUAGCAAAAUGACGGGAUUGAGACUGGGAGCAGAAUUUCUCUCAAGAAAUAUAAGAAGGAGACUAUUAAUUCACUGAUGACAGAUUAUCUCACAAAAAUCACACUGCAAACAUUUUACCUAUUUUCAUUUCCAUUAGCAAUGCAUAAGCAUAUCUAUUCACUGUACAUUUGCAAACACUGGAAAUGAUAUACAGCAUUCUAAUUUGGAUAUAUGUAUACAUAUACAUGUAUAUCUUAUUAAUCUGAGUAUCACUAUGACUUGAUGAAAUGAGACAUACAGUUCAAAAAUAGAAUAGAAAAACAAUGUCUUAGUGAAAGAAAAUGAAGUUUUUAGGAGUGAGGCAGAGUACUACUGAAUAUAAAGACACUAUAAACUUGUAAGGAAAUUAAUAACCCUCCAAUCAUAUGUACCAUGUGGAGAAUAUGAUUAAAGCUGAAAGAUGAGAGAGACAAGACUAAGAUCACUGAAAGCUUGUUCUUUAGAAAAUCUGACAAAAUGGGAAAAUGUGUGAUGUAUUCUUAAUAUCAGUUAAAAAUUGAAAUAGUAUAAUUUGUGAAAAUUCUAAAUAUCUCAAAGUUGUAUUCUAUUUAAGAAGAAUAUCUCAUAAUUUCUUCACUUUUUAUUUUUACAAUUUAUUAUACUAAGGAAAGUAGCUAAACAAACAAAUGGAAAAUUCUACUUAUUAUUCAAUUAAAAAAACUUUUUUUGGUUAGUGAAGUGUAAGUAAAGCCUUUGGAGAAAGUAUUUUAUUUUUAGAAUUUGAUUAAGAAUGGCCAGAUACAUUCACAUAUGCAUUUGUGAUUAUAAGAAAACUCAUAAUAAACAUCCUGAAGAAACACAAGCAGGAUUCCCUAAGAAGGUUGUAGAGAUCUGUUUCAUCAGGAAGUAUUCUCAAUUUUUACACAUUAAUUACUAGAUAACAUUGAAAUUUUUAAAGCAAUGUUUUCAAAUUCUCCUUUGUUACUAUUGAAAUGACUUAAUAAACAUAGUAAAAUAUUCAAACAUUAUAAAAGUGAGUCUUUCAUGUUUUCAAACUGGAAAAAGUAAAUCUCAGUGAUUUUCUGGAUUGUCAGAUUCAACUCCAGAGUUUAACAAUAGUUUCCUGUGCUUUCUUAUAGGGAAAAAAAGUGUAUGUGUUUAUACAUGUAUAUAUAUACAAAUUAAUAUUUGACACUUUAUAUUUUCAUGGAUAAAAGCUCAUCAAAUACAUCAUUCAUUAGCUAUUUGUGGGCAAUAUACCCAUGAUUGUAAGUACUGACUCAGACCAAUAGUUAUCUUGGAUAGAUAUCCAAAAUCUGCCACUUGUUAGCUAUGCAACCAUCAGAAAAUUAUGUAAUUUCUAUGUGAUUCAGUUUCCUUAUGUGUAAAAUGUAGAUGAUAAUAAUAUCUCCUUCAGGGGGCAGUUGUGAAGAUGAAAUUCAUAAAUUCAUAUGAAGUACUUAGAACCAUGCCACAUGGUUAAAAAAAAACAACAAAAGUUAGCUACUGUCAUAAUAUUAUUCUACUUCCUUCACUUACUAAUUUAUUUUAGAGAGAUACUCCUAUUUUCACAUACACAAAUUGAUAGAGUUUGUCUCUGUGUCUCCAUCUAAAUCUCAUCUUGAAUUAUAAUCCCAUAAUUCCCACAUGUCAUGGGAUGGACCUGGUGGGCGGUAAUAGAAUCAUGGCAGAGGGAAAAAUGUUUUCCUGGGCCCAGUCCUAGGCCUACCUGCUGUUUGCAACCUUGGGACUUGGUACUCUGAGUCCCAGCCACUCUAGCAUUGGCUAAAAGGGGCCAAGGUAUAGCUCAGGCUUUUGCUUCAGAGGGUGUAAGCCCCAGCUCUUAGUAGCUCCCACGUGUUGUUGGGCCACCAGCUGUGCAGAAGGCAAGAAUUGAGGUUUGGGAACCUCUGCCUAGAUUUCAGGGGAUGUAUGGAAAGAUCUGUAUGUCCAGGCAGAGGUUUGCUGCAGGGGCAGGGCCCUCAUGGAGAACCUCUGCUAGAACAGUGUAAAGGAAAAUGUGAGGCUGAAGCCCCCACACAGUGUCCCAAUUGGGGCACUUCCUAGUGGAGCUGUCAGAGGAAGGCCACCAUCCUCCAGACCCCAGAAUGGUAGAUCCAUCAGUAGCUUGUACUGUGCACCAGAAAAGGCCACAGACACUCAAUAUCAGCCUGUGAAAGCAGCCAGGUGUAGGGCUGUACCCUGCAAAGCCACAGGAGCAGAGCUGCCCAAAACCAUGGGAGUCUACUUCUUGCAUCAGUGUAACCUGGAUGUGAGACAUGGAGUCAAAGGAGGUCAUUUUGGAACUUUAAGGUUUGGUGACUGCCCUGUUGGAUUUUGGACUUGCAUGGGGCCUGUAGCCCCUUUGUUUUGGCCAAUUUCACCCAUUUGGAGUGGGUGUAUUUACCCAAUGCCUGUACCCUCAUUGUAUCUAGAAAGUAACUAACUUGAUUUCAAUUUUACAGGCUCACAGGCAGAAGGGACUUGCCUUAUCUCAGAUGAGACUUUGGAUUUGAACAUUUGGGUUAAUGUUGGAAGGAGUUAAGGUUUUGGGGGACUGUUGGAAAGGCAUGAUUGUGUUUUGAAAUGUGAUGACGAGAUUUGGCAGGGGCUGGGGUGGAAUGAUAUGGUUUGGCUCUGUGUUCCCUCCCAAAUCUCAUCUUGAAUUAUAAUCCCAUAAUCCUCACGUGUCAUCGGAGGGACCCGGUGAGAGGGAAUUGAAUCAUGGGGGUGGUUCCCCCAUGCUGUUCACGUGAUAGUGAGUGAGUUCCCAUGAGAUCGGAUUGUUUUAUAAUGGGUUUUUCCCCCACUUCAAUUGGCACUUCUUCCUGCCAUCAUGUGAAGAAGGACAUGUUUGCUUCCCCUUCUGCCAUGAAUGUAAGUUUCCUGAGGCCUCCCAAGCUAUGUGGAACUGUGAGUAAAUUAAACCUAUUUUCUUUAUAAAUUACCCAGUCUUGGGUUUUUCCUUGUAGCAGCAUGAGAAUGGACUAAUACAUAGAUCAAUAUUAUUCUUUCUAAUAGCUGCAUAGUAUUUUUUCACUCCCAUGUUGAUGGACAGUAUAAUGACCAAUACUGCAGUAACAUUCCAAGUUCUUCUUAUAUGAAGGUGCAAAUAUUUACUUAGGAUAUAUUUUUAAAGGUUGAAUUACUAGUUCAAAGAAUAAAAAAUGUGCCAUGUAUUGAAUAAUGGCCCGACAACAGAUACAUAGGGACAAAAAUCAAUACAAAUUAUACCAUAUUGUUUAAGAUCUAUUAGCAAAAGACUUGUAGAAAACACUUAACAUAAAAAAGGACAUUUAUAAUUAUGUUUGAGGCACAGAUCUCAAAAGAAUAAUCCUAAGGUCAGGGGUAACAAGUAAAAAUAAUAUCAGAAAAUAAUACCUAAUCUCUAUGUUUACUUCUCUCUCUUUUUUUCUUUUUCAGGGAAGCAGUCUUCAGACAAAAGAUCUAAAAACCUAAAGUUCAAUACAAGUAAAAAUACCAUUUGUACUUUUCCAGAUUCUUUAGAAACUUAUAAAUAAGGCUAUCCAAUUACAAUUGAGAGCUAUUGCAAGGUGAAAAAUUGCCUAAAUCUGGGAUCAAAGGACCAGGUGAAAGUUUUUAAUGAGUCCUACUUAUUAACUGGAUGCCUAUUUCCAAGCAAAUUUUCUAAGAUUAUCUCCAUGUUUAUACAAUAAAAUCUGAAGGAGCAAAGAAGAAAAUGUCUUAUUGCAAGGGAUUAUUUUGAAAUUUAAAAAGUAUACAUUUUAUAAAUAAUAGUCAUUACCACUAACCAACUUGAAGCAUAAGAGAACUAUAAAAAUAAUGGCCAUCAAAAGUAGUCCUGAUUUUUUUAAAAGCAGAGGGAAUUGAGAUUAAUGUACCAUCCUCAGAGAUGUAUAAAACACAUCUUCAAAUGAAAGGUAAUGGAGGUUUCAGAAAGAUAGAUCUUGAUAAAUGGGAACCAACAUGAAUUCACCAAAACAAGUCAUAAGAUACUAGCCUCAUUUCCUCUUUUAAAAUAAACAGUAGAAUAAGGAGUCAAGAUGUAUAGUAAAUGUAGCAACUCUAAAAUUCAGGAAAUAAUUUGAAACAAUCUCUCAAAUUAUUCUUGUAGAGAAGAUGAAAAGCUUAACUAAUUUACCAGGUGUGGUCAGGGAUAUAUAAACGCAAGUCACCUCAUCAAUGGCGAAAGCUAAUGACUGUUACAGAGCAUUGCUAUUAUUCCUUGCUAUCAAAAGAUGUAUCUGUCACUUAUUUGAAUGCAGAGAACACAUAUGUACCAAAGGAGAAAUUAAUAUGAAAGCUUAAAUAUAUAGGAGACAACUUUCUUGAAAAACAGAAUGAGGAGCCACAAAAUUCAGAACAGUAGACCAAAUCAAUAAAAAGGAAGUGUAUGGUCAUCACAAAACUAAAACAUUAACCACACAAGUGUGAAAAGACUUAAUUAGAAAUGCUAAAUUUCAGAAAACAUAUAAGUAAAACAUGUUAUAUGGCUGUCAAAAAUGCUAACAGGCUCUAUGACUACAAUAUCAUAAAAAAUGUAGCAUAAGGAUUGGCUGAAGUUAUGGUACCUUUCAACCUCAAGUUGCUAAAACCAUAGGUGGAAUUUUUUUGUUCAUGACAAUGAGCUGCAUUUUCAGAAAGAUUUUGAUAAACCAGAGAACAUGCAAAUGGCAAAGGACAGAGGAGCACCUUACUAAAUGAGUGGCACCACUAAAGAUGGAGCCCACUUUAGUGGAGCACUUCAAAAGCAUACAUAACAACUACUUAAGUGAGAGGGAAAUUUAUAAAAUAAAAAAGUGAAAGAUCAAUAUUUGCUUUAUUUACCUAUCAGGAGAGCUACAGGGUGAAAACAAUACUUAACGUGUACUCUAUUUAAUUUACUGGAGAAUAAGAACCUAUGGGUAAAAUUUACAAGAUGUUUGAAAUUACCAAAAAUAAUAUGGAACACUCAUAAAAUAAUUAGAACCAUUCAUGUGUGGAAAGGGCUGCCUUUGAGUGGUGAGAUCUUUGUCACUGGAAUCAUUAAUGAAGAGAUGGGAAAGCCACUCACAGAAAAUUUUGUAGAAGUAAAUCCCAGAAGGGCAUGAACUCUGUUUUUAAGAAUCUGUAACUGUUUACCAACUUAUUUCUUCGUUCUGUCUUCUUCCUUUGUCUAGUUUUAUUUUUUUUUUCUCACUUGGCUCUCUUUUUCCAUUCUUCGUGUACUAUAUUGCAAUAAACUUGAGAUAUAUCAUGCCAGUCUCAUCUAUUAUGUUUAUUUUCCCUCAGCUCUUUUCUAUUACUCUCUGUUAAGUCUUCAUAAGGAUUUAUGCAUUUGGAUUAACUUUGCUGCCUACGGGCAUACGCUUGUUUCCUCCAUUGAUCUGUUGUUUUAUUGCUAAUAAACCAUUUUACAAAGAUGCCAGACUCAACAUACUUUUACGCUGUUUUGUAACAGUACUAGUGGUUAUUGUGAGUACAAUUCAAUAGCUUAUUUUAAAGUUAAAAUUUAUGACCCUUAUUUGUCCUGCUGAACUAAACAAAAAGUACCUAUGAUGAGAUCAUUGUGAUGAGUAUGUAUUUCUCUGUACUUCAUUUAGUUGAUAACCCAUUAUCUGAUUAAUAUGAUAGGAUGGAAAUUUCUACAAUACAUAGUUUACAUAUUAAUGUAACAUUCCUACAUAUUUUUAAAAACUAUGUUUCCUAAUUAUAAGAUACUAUAUUCAUUACAGAAAAUUAUCCCAACUAUAUGCUGCCUACAAGACUCACUUUAGCUUUACGUGGACUGAAAGUGAAGGAAUGGAAAAUGGUAUUUCAAAUGAAAACCAAAAAAAAAAGAAAUAAUAUAUAUAUUUAUGUCAGACAAAAUAGACUACUUCAAAACAGGAGACACAGAAGGUCACUAUGUAAUGUUAAAGGGGUCAAUUUACCAAAAGGAUAUAAAAAUUGUAACUAAGUCUAUGCACCCAAUAUUGAGUCUCCUAAAUAUAUAAAGCAAAUAUUAACAGAAUUGAAGAGAGAAAUAUCAAUGCAAUAAUAGGGGAUUUUAAUACCCUACUUUCAAUAAUAGAUAGAUCGUUGAGACAGAAAAUCAAUAAGGAAACAUUUAACUUGAAAUACAUGUUAGACCAAAUGAACUAAACAGGCAUAUACAGAAUGUUUCUUUCAACAGUAGCAGCAGAAUAUACAUUCUUGUCAAGCAUUCAGGGAACAUUCUCCAAAAUAGAUUAUAUAUUAGGCCAUAAAACAAGCCUAAAUGAAUUUAGGAAAAUCAAAAUUAUGUCAAGCGUCUCUUUUGACCACAAUGGUAUUAAACUAAAAAUCAAUAACGGAAGGAAAAUUUACAAAUAUGUGGAAAUUAAACAACCUACACCUGAACAACCAAAGGAUCAAACAGUAAAAACAAGUCAAAAACUGUAUUGAGACAGGUAGAAAUGGAAACACAAUAUACCAAAGUUCAUGUGUUGUAGCAAAAGCAGUUCCAAGAGGGAAGUGCACAGCAAUUAGCAUCUCUGUGACAAAAAAGAAAAUUCUUAAGUAAGCAAUUUCACUUUACACUUCAAUGAACUAGAAAAAGAAGAGCAAACUUAGCCCAAAGGUAGUAAAAAAGGAAAUAAUAAUGAUUAGAGCAGAAAUAAAUAAAAUAGAGACAAUAGAAAGCAAGAAAAAUAAACUAAGAGUUUUUAAGAUUAACAAAAUUGAUAAAAUUUUAACUAAAUUAAAAUGAUGCAAGACAGAAAUAAUCAAAAUCACAAGUGAAAGAGAAUAAAUUACAGCUGAUACCACAGAAAUACAAAGGAUUAUAAGGGACUACUAUGAAUAAUUAUAAACCAACAAAUUGGACAAUUUAGAAGAAAUGCAUACAUUCCUAGACACAUACAACCUACCAUAACUGAAUCAUGAAGAAUUAAAAAAUCUGAAUAGGCCAAUGAUAAGCAAGGAGAUUGAAUUAGUAAUAAAAACAAAAACUCCCACCAAAGUAAAGCCCAGUAUCUGAUGGCUUCACUGAUAAAUUCUACCAAACAUUAAAGAUUUAAUACCAAAUUUUCUCAAACUCUUUCAAGAAAUUAAAGCAAAGCAAAUGCUUCCAAACUCAUUUUAAAAGCCUGUAUUAACCUCAUACCAAAGUUAGACAAGGACAUUACAAGAAAAGAAACUAAUAGGCCAAUUUUCCCAAUGAACAUAGAUGCAAAAACCUUUAACAAAGUAUUAGCAAAUCAAAUUCAAAAGCAUGUUAGAAAGAUCAUACAGUGGGAUUUAUUCCUAUAAUGCAAGGAUGGUUUGACAUAUAAAAAUCAAUAAAUGUGAUAUACUACAUCAACAGAAUAAAACAUAAAAAUCAUAUCAUCUCAAUAGAUGCAGAAAAUCAUUUAACAAUAUUCAAUGUCCUUUCAUGAUUUAAAAAAACUGUCAACAAAUUAGUUAUAGAAGUCAACUAAGUUACUAAGUUAUACCUUAACAUAAUAAAAGACAUAUAUGAAAAGCCCACAGCUAACUUCAUAUGCAGUGAUGAAAAGCUGAACUCUUUUCCUCUAAGAUCAUGAAAAAGAAAGGGAUGCCCACUGUCACCACUUCUACUCAGUAUAGUAUUGUAAAUCGUAGUCAGUGCAAUUAGGUAUGAGAAAAAAAAAAAAGUCAUCCAAAUCAGAAAGGUUGAAGUUAAACGGUGUUUCCAGAUAACAUGAUCUUAUGUGUAUAUAAAACCUUAAAUACGCUACCAAAAAUUGUUAAAACCAUUAAAGAAAUUCAGUAAAUUUUCAGGAUACAGAAUCAAACUUCAAAAGUCAAUUCGUUAAUUUUACAAAAAUCAGUUCCUUUUCUAUGCACUAAAAAAUCAAAAAUUAAGAUAUAUAUAUAAAUUAGAGAUGGGUCUAGUACUGUUGACCAGGCUGGAGCACAGAGGCACAAUCAUAGCUCACUGCAGCCUCCAUCUCCUGGGCUUAAGAGAUCCUCCCACCUAGUCUUCCAAACAGCUGGGAUUACAGGCAUGGGCAACCAUACCCUGCUAAUUUAAAAAAUAUAUAUUUUUCGAGAUAGAGUCUUACUACAUUACUCUGACUGGUCUCAAACUCCUGUCCUCAAGCAAUCCUCCAGUCUCAGCCUCCCUAGUAGGUGGAAUUAUAGAAACAAGGCACCAUGUGCAGCUCUACAAUAGCAUUUUAAAAACUGAAGUACUUAGGAGUAAGCUUGACCAAGGAGGUGAAAGAUCUGUUCACUGAAAACUAGAAAACAGUAGUGAAAGAAAUUAAGGAAGACACAAAUAAAUAGAAAAAUAUGAUUGCUGAACUGCACUCCAGCCGGAGUGCAUGUGUGAGACAGCAAAACCCUGACCUAAAAAAAAAAGAGAACAAUAUCCCAUUCAUGGAUUGGAAGAAUUAAUAUUGUCAAAAUAGCAAUACUAACCAAAGUAAUCUACAAAUUUGUUGCAAUCCCUAUCAAAAUCCCAAUGGAAAUUUUCAAGAAAUAGAAAAAAUUCUGAAAUGUAUAUGGAACUAUAAAAGACUCCAAAUAGCUGAAACAAUCCUAAGAAGAACAAACAAAGCUGAAAGCAUUACAUGUACUGAUUUAAAAUUAUAUUAUGAAGAUAUAGUAAUCAAAACAUUAUGACACUGACAUAAAAACACAUAGACUAAUGGAACAGGAUACAAAGUCUUAAGAUAAACCUACACAUAUAGAGUCAACUAAUUUUCAAGAAAGGCACCAAGAAUACACAAUGGAUAAAAGAUAGUAUCUUCCUUAAAUGGUUUUUGGAAAACUGGAUAUCCGCACUCAACAAAAAGAAAAAAAAAAGAAAAAAGAAAAAGAAAGAAAGAAAAGAAAAAAAGGAUAAAUUAGAUCUUUAUCUCACACUAUACCAAAAAAAGGCAACUUAAAAUGAAUUAAAGAAUUAAAGGUUUAAACGUGAGGCCUGAAACUAUAAAACUUCUAGAAGAAAACAUAGAAGAAAAUCUUCAUGACAUAAAUCUUGGAAAUUAUUUCAUGGAUAUGUCAUCAAAAGCACAGGGAAAAAUAAAAAAUAAACAACUGAGACUACAUCAAACUAAAACAUUUCUGCACAACAAAGGAAACAAAUAAUAAAAUGAAAAGACAACUCACAGAAUGGAAGAAAAUAUUUCCCAACUAUAUAACUGGCAAGGAACUAAUAUCCAAAAUAAAUAAGAAAUUCAUAUAAGUCAAGAGCCAAAAAGCAAAUAACUUGAUUUAAAAAAAAAAAAAAAGGGCAAAAGACCUGAAUAGACAUUUUUCCAAAGAAGACAUACAAAUGACCAACAGAGACAUGGGAGGCUCCUCAAUAUCACCAAUAAUCAGAAAAAUGCAAUUAAAACCACAAUGAGGUAUCAUCUCACACCUGUGAAGAUGGCUACGAUGAAAAAGAUGAAAAAUAACAAGUGUUGACAAGUAUGUGGAGAAAAGAGAAUUGUGCACUAUUGGUGGGAAUAUAAAUCAAUAGAGCCAUUACAGAAAAUGAUAUGGAGCUUUCUCAAAAAAUUAAAAAUAGAACCACCAUAUGACCCAGCAAUUCCACUUUAUGGGUAUUUAUCCAAAGGAAAUGAAAUCAGUUUAUUGAAGAGAUACCUGCAAUCCCAUGUUCAUUGCAGCACUAUUCACCAUAGCUGAGAUACAGAAAUAACCAAAGUGUCCAUUGACAGAUGAAUGGAUAUAGAAAAAUGCGAUGGAAUAUUAUUCAGCCUUAAAAAAGGAAAUUUUGGGAGUACUGGAGCCAAGAUGGCCGAAUAGGAACAGCUCCGGUCUACAGCUCCCAGCGUGAGUGACGCAGAAGACGGGUGAUUUCUGCAUUUCCAUCUGAGGUACCGGGUUCAUCUCACUAGGGAGUGCCGAAACAGUGGGCGCAGGUCAGUGGGUGUGUGCACCGUGCACAAGCCGAAGCAGGGCGAGGCAUUGCCUCACUUGGGAAGCGCAAGGGGUCAGGGAGUUCCCUCUCUGAGUCAAAGAAAGGGGUGACAGAAGGCACCUGAAAAAUCGGGUCACUCCCACCCGAAUACUGCGCUUUUCUGAUGGGCUUAAGAAACGGCGCACCACAAGAUUAUAACUCGUACCUGGCUCGGAGGGUCCUAUGCCCACGGAGUCUCGUUUAUUGCUAGCACAGCAGUCUGAGAUCAAACUGCAAGGCGGCAGCAAGGCUGGGGGAGGGGCGCCCGCCAUUGCCCAGGCUUGAUUAGGUAAAAAAGCAGCCCGGAAGCUCUAACUGGGUGGAGCCCACCACAGCUCAAGGCCUGCCUGCCACUGUAGGCUCCACCUCUGGGGGCAGUGCACAGACAAACAAAAAGACAGCAGUAACCUCUGCAGACUUAAAUAUCCCUGUCUGACAGCUUUGAAGAGAGCAGUGGUUCUCCCAGCAGGCAGCUGGAAAUGUGAGAACGGGCAGACUGCCUCCUCAAGUGGGUCCCUGACCCCUGACCCCCGAG